rnacentral:rRNA from 1 species
GACGAACGCUGGCGGCGUGCCUAAUACAUGCAAGUUGAGCGCUGAAGGUUGGUACUUGUACCAACUGGAUGAGCAGCGAACGGGUGAGUAACGCGUGGGGAAUCUGCCUUUGAGCGGGGGACAACAUUUGGAAACGAAUGCCAAUACCGCAUAAAAACUUUAAUCACAAGUUUUAAGUUUGAAAGAUGCAAUUGCAUCACUCAAAGAUGAUCCCGCGUUGUAUUAGCUAGUUGGUGAGGUAAAGGCUCACCAAGGCGAUGAUACAUAGCCGACCUGAGAGGGUGAUCGGCCACAUUGGGACUGAGACACGGCCCAAACUCCUACGGGAGGCAGCAGUAGGGAAUCUUCGGCAAUGGACGAAAGUCUGACCGAGCAACGCCGCGUGAGUGAAGAAGGUUUUCGGAUCGUAAAACUCUGUUGGUAGAGAAGAACGUUGGUGAGAGUGGAAAGUUCAUCAAGUGACGGUAACUACCCAGAAAGGGACGGCUAACUACGUG